GCUGUCGUGGUGGAGUGGUAACACAUCCGCCCCCGGAGCGGAGGAUCGCAGGUUCGAACCCUGUCGGCAGCG